rnacentral:rRNA from 1 species
CUUGAUGUGUAGGAUAGGUGGGAGGCUUUGAAGCGUGGACGCCAGUCUGCGUGGAGCCGACCUUGAAAUACCACCCUUUAAUGUUUGAUGUUCUAACGUGGACCCGUUACCCGGGUUGCGGACAGUGUCUGGUGGGUAGUUUGACUGGGGCGGUCUCCUCCUAAAGAGUAACGGAGGAGCACGAAGGUUGGCUAAUCCUGGUCGGACAUCAGGAGGUUAGUGCAAUGGCAUAAGCCAGCUUGACUGCGAGCGUGACGGCGCGAGCAGGUGCGAAAGCAGGUCAUAGUGAUCCGGUGGUUCUGAAUGGAAGGGCCAUCGCUCAACGGAUAAAAGGUACUCCGGGGAUAACAGGCUGAUACCGCCCAAGAGUUCAUAUCGACGGCGGUGUUUGGCACCUCGAUGUCGGCUCAUCACAUCCUGGGGCUGAAGUAGGUCCCAAGGGUAUGGCUGUUCGCCAUUUAAAGUGGUACGCGAGCUGGGUUUAGAACGUCGUGAGACAGUUCGGUCCCUAUCUGCCGUGGGCGCUGGAGAACUGAGGGGGGCUGCUCCUAGUACGAGAGGACCGGAGUGGACGCAUCACUGGUGUUCGGGUUGUCAUGCCAAUGGCACUGCCCGGUAGCUAAAUGCGGAAGAGAUAAGUGCUGAAAGCAUCUAAGCACGAAACUUGCCCCGA